UACGUAGGUGGCGAGCGUUGUCCGGAAUUAUUGGGCGUAAAGAGCAUGUAGGCGGCCUAUUAAGUCGAGCGUGAAAAUGCGGGGCUCAACCCCGUAUGGCGCUGGAAACUGGUAGGCUUGAGUGCAGGAGAGGAAAGGGGAAUUCCCAGUGUAGCGGUGAAAUGCGUAGAUAUUGGGAGGAACACCAGUGGCGAAGGCGCCUUUCUGGACUGUGUCUGACGCUGAGAUGCGAAAGCCAGGGUAGCGAACGGG
rnacentral:rRNA from 1 species